rnacentral:tRNA from 1 species
AGGGUAAUAGCUCAGUGGUAGAGCACAUGCUUAGCAUGCACGAGGUCCUGGGUUCAAUCCCCAGUACCUCUA